GGUGGGCUGUGGCUGGGGGGCGUCUCCUGGGACAGGGGGGGCGGCCCCCCCCAGAUGGGUCUGCAUGUGGCCGGCCAGCUGGGCAGGGGUCUUGCAGUGCACGCUGCACAGCUUGCACAGGAUGCGGUCAGCCCGCGGGGCCUGGAGCCCAUGGUCCUUCACCGCGUGGAUGCGCAGAUCCUUGGUAGCCUGGGGCCAACUACUCCAUUGGGGUUAGUGGGGCAAAGCCCAUUCCCUGACCUUAGGGCCCAGGAAAUGGGAGUGAGAUGAUGAGGCCUUGAAGAAGGGAUGAGAAAAUGGAGUGAAAAAGCAAAAAGAAGAAAGAGAAAAAGGGGGUCUGAGAGGCUGAACUCAGACAGCUACAAUGAGGAUCAAAAUCAUGAAAACCCGGACAGGAGGCGGCGAGCUUCCUACCUCACAUUUGAAGGGCCGUUCUGUUGAGUGCACUUGUCUGACGUGACUGUUGA